rnacentral:rRNA from 1 species
GACUACCCCGCUGGAAAUUAAGCAUAUCAAUAAGCGGAGGAAAAGAAACCAACAGGGAUUGCCCUAGUAACGGCGAGUGAAGCGGCAACAGCUCAAAUUUGAAAUCUGGCUCUUUCAGAGUCCGAGUUGUAAUUUGCAGAGGGCGCUUUGGCGUCGGCAGCGGUCCAAGUUCUUUGGAACAGGACGUCACAGAGGGUGAGAAUCCCGUACGUGGUCGCUAGCCUUCGCCGUGUAAAGCCCCUUCGACGAGUCGAGUUGUUUGGGAAUGCAGCUCUAAAUGGGAGGUAAAUUUCUUCUAAAGCUAAAUACUGGCCAGAGACCGAUAGCGCACAAGUAGAGUGAUCGAAAGAUGAAAAGCACUUUGGAAAGAGAGUCAAAUAGCACGUGAAAUUGUUGAAAGGGAAGCGCUUGCAGCCAGACUUACCUGUAGUUGCUUAUCUGGACUUUUGUCCAGUGCACUCUUCUACGGGUAGGCCAGCAUCAGUUUGGGCGGUUGGAUAAAGGUCUCUGUCACGUACCUCCCUUCGGGGUGGCCUUAUAGGGGAGACGUCAUGCAACCAGCCUGGACUGAGGUCCGCGCAUCUGCUAGGAUGCUGGCGUAAUGGCUGUAAGCGGCCCGUCUUGAAACACGGACCAAGGAGUCUAACAUCUAUGCGAGUGUUUGGGUGUCAAGCCCAGACGCGUAAUGAAAGUGAACGGAGGUGGGAACCCUUUGGGUGCACCAUCGACCGAUCCUGAUGUCUUCGGAUGGAUUUGAGUAAGAGCAUGGCUGUUGGGACCCGAAAGAUGGUGAACUAUGCUUGAAUAGGGUGAAGCCAGAGGAAACUCUGGUGGAGGCUCGCAGCGGUUCUGACGUGCAAAUCGAUCGUCAAAUUUGGGCAUAGGGGCGAAAGACUAAUCGAACUAUCUAGUAGCUGGUUCCUGCCGAAGUCCCCCCUUCAGGAAAUU